AUGAACACUAAAUACAACUAAACCAUAUAAAUUGUCACAGCAAAUAAUAAUUAAAACUUUCAACAACGGAUCUCUUGGUUCUCGCAUCGAUGAAGAACGCAGCGAAUUGCGAUAAGUAAUAUGAAUUGCAGACUUUGUGAAUCAUCGAAUUUUUGAACGCACAUUGCACCUUGUGGCAUUCCACAAGGUAUGCCUGUUUGAGCGUCAUCCACCCUCAAACCCCUGGGUUUGGCCGUGAGUGCACUCAUUUUGAAUUUGUCUGCUCGAAACGUAACGAUACAUGUCUAGGAUUACCCACACGUGUGUUUACUAACCCUUUCGACCUCAAAUCAGGUAGGACUACCCGCUGAACUUAAGCAUAUCAAUAAGCGGAGGA
rnacentral:rRNA from 1 species